rnacentral:rRNA from 1 species
AUGAACGCUGGCGGCGUGCCUAAUCCCUGCCAGUCGAGCGAACAGAUGAGGAGCUUGCUCCUCUGACGUUAGCGGCGGACGGGUGAGUAACACGUGGAUAACCUACCUAUAAGACUGGGAUAACUUCGGGAAACCGGAGCUAAUACCGGAUAAUAUAUUGAACCGCAUGGUUCAAUAGUGAAAGACGGUUUUGCUGUCACUUAUAGAUGGAUCCGCGCCGCAUUAGCUAGUUGGUAAGGUAACGGCUUACCAAGGCAACGAUGCGUAGCCGACCUGAGAGGGUGAUCGGCCACACUGGAACUGAGACACGGUCCAGACUCCUACGGGAGGCAGCAGUAGGGAAUCUUCCGCAAUGGGCGAAAGCCUGACGGAGCAACGCCGCGUGAGUGAUGAAGGUCUUCGGAUCGUAAAACUCUGUUAUUAGGGAAGAACAAAUGUGUAAGUAACUAUGCACGUCUUGACGGUACCUAAUCAGAAAGCCACGGCUAACUACGU